rnacentral:tRNA from 1 species
UGUGGCAGAUUAGUGCGAUGAAUUUAAGCUUCAUAUAUAAAGUUGUCGCUUUUGUUAGAAA